UGCGUAGGGUGCAAGCGUUGUCCGGAAUUAUUGGGCGUAAAGAGCUCGUAGGCGGUCUGUCGCGUCGAAUGUGAAACCCCGAGGCUCAACCUCGGGUCUGCAUUCGAUACGGGCAGACUAGAGUUCGGUAGGGGAGUCUGGAAUUCCUGGUGUAGCGGUGAAAUGCGCAGAUAUCAGGAGGAACACCGGUGGCGAAGGCGGGACUCUGGGCCGAUACUGACGCUGAGGAGCGAAAGCGUGGGGAGCGAACAGG
rnacentral:rRNA from 1 species